UGCAGUAGAACGCUGAAGGAGGAGCUUGCUUCUCUGGAUGAGUUGCGAACGGGUGAGUAACGCGUAGGUAACCUGCCUGGUAGCGGGGGAUAACUAUUGGAAACGAUAGCUAAUACCGCAUAAUAGCAGUUGUUGCAUGACAACUGUUUGAAAGGUGCAAUUGCACCACUACCAGAUGGACCUGCGUUGUAUUAGCUAGUUGGUGGGGUAACGGCUCACCAAGGCGACGAUACAUAGCCGACCUGAGAGGGUGAUCGGCCACACUGGGACUGAGACACGGCCCAGACUCCUACGGGAGGCAGCAGUAGGGAAUCUUCGGCAAUGGACGGAAGUCUGACCGAGCAACGCCGCGUGAGUGAAGAAGGUUUUCGGAUCGUAAAGCUCUGUUGUAAGAGAAGAACGAGUGUGAGAGUGGAAAGUUCACACUGUGACGGUAUCUUACCAGAAAGGGACGGCUAACUACGUGCCAGCAGCCGCG
rnacentral:rRNA from 1 species